AUGUUUCCUACCAUGGUCCAGACGCACCGGGCGAAAGGGCAUGUUAGGAUUAGGAAUCUCGGUGCCGGCCCAAGGGCACUCCUUGUCAGUCCAGUCAAGCCGUUUCCACCUGAGACGAAGAGCUCUGCUGAAGCGUUGGAGAUCGAGCACCCCAAGGUCCCCCAGCCGCUUGGGGCGACAAACAGUGCUCCAAUUGACGAGAGCCAUACCCUAGUUGGUAUCAGGCUUGGAGCGCCACAAAAAAUUCCUCCGAAGCUUAUCCAUUUGUUUGAGAGCCCACCCAUCAAGCUUGAAUACAGAAAGAAGGUGAACUGGAAUGGCCUCGCGACUCGGGCGCCUGGCCGCCCCGGCCCAACAGGCCCGGCCCAGGAGGCGGUCACCGCUUCUGUCAGUCAUGCUGCUGGGCUGCCUCUUCCCUCCCAGCCCACCGGGCCCGAUGCCGCUUCCGCUGUCACUGCCACCGCUCUAGCUGUUGCCGUGCAGGGCCUCUCUGUUGACCCCAUGCUCUCCCCUGCCUUGCCAUUCCUCUCUGCAAUCAGCACCGCUAUCCAGCCGCCGCUCAUCUGUUCCCCUCCUCCCACGCGCCAGCCGCCGGCGCUGCAGGCGGCCACCCCGGUGAGGCGCACCAGCCGUAGGCUUGCCGGGCAGCCUGCCGCCGGCCUGACCACCAUCGAGCGGGCACGCAGCAUGCUCCGCAAGAAGUGGGGAAUCGCGGCUGACCUCAACGACAAGGCCACGGAGGAAGCCAUGAUGCAAAGCUUCCUCGACAUGUUCACGGAUCCCCUCAGCGCUGAGGAGAUCGAGGCGGUGAAGGCCCUCUUCUCCUCCGUCCAGCGGAUCAAAGGAAGGCCAAGCUCCAAGGGGCGCCCCGCAGCCGUUCGCCGGCUGCGCGACCGCCGCGAAACAAAGCUCGCUCACAUCGACCGCUCGAUUGUGCUCGAGCUCCUUGGGAAUGGCUUUGCUGACUCAUUCUGCUUCCUCCCGACUGAUGGCACCAGAGGAGGGAUCCUCUUGGCUUUCUCCUCUGACCUUUUCGUCAUCACGAGCUCUAAUGCCACAACUCAUACGAUCUCUGCUUCCGUCUCCAUGCGUGCUUCGGCCGCCUCCUGGAGCAUCUAUGUGGUUUAUGACCCCCAAACCGACAAUGACAACACCUGCCUGCAGCAGACUAAAACCAAGAUCGACCAUGUCUUCUGCUCUACUAAUCGGAAUCUCCUUUUUCCCCAAUGCCACCUGCGUGCCACCUCCUCCUCCAUAUCUGACCACUAUGCUAUGCUCCUCACUGGUCAAGUUAGCCACUGGAAGUUCUCCGGGUUCCGUUUUGAGAACUACUGGCUUAAAAUUCGAGGAUUCAGAGACGUUGUAACUGAAUCGUGGCAGGCGUCGGUCGCUCCCGACGGAGACUCCAUGUGCAGAUUGCACUGCAAGUUAUCCCGCCUCGCCAAAUCCCUCCGGCUUUGGAGCCGCCGGCGCGUGGGCAACAUCACCCUGCUGUCCGCGAUUGCUGAUCUGGUCAUUCUGGGCCUCGGCUCUGCUCAGGACGGCCGUGAUCUGUCCAUCGCGGAGAUGGGUCUCCGGCUGCACCUCAGGCACAAGCUCCUCGGUCUGGCUGCCAUCCAGCGGGUGCGUAUCCGACAACGGUCUCGCAUCCUCUACCUGCGUGCCAAUGAGGCUGAUUCCAAGCUCUUCCACAUCAAGGCUAACGGACGGAGAAGACGGAAUUUCAUCCCGGUUCUGGACAACGGUGAGGCCCAGCUCACCCUGCAGGCUGACAAGCAGAAGGCGCUUCUUGACCACUUCAGAAGCACGAUCGGCACCCCAACCCCCAGGGAGUGUUCGAUCAAUUGGGAGUACCUGGAUAUGCCGAGGCACGAUCUAUCUGCUUUGGAGAUGGACUUCACCGAGGAGGAAAUCAAGGCAGCCCUCCGCGGAUCAGCAUCGCGCGCCAUCCCCGAUGGCCCUGGAGCCGCCGCAAUGCUGGUCAACGCGCCGGCUGGAGGUGCGCUCCUGAAGGAGGCCGAGCGCUGCGGCGACGCCUGCUCUCCUGCUCUGCCGCGGCGGGCGUCGAGGCCGCCUCCCCUCGUCGAGGUCUUCGCGCGAACCGUCAGGCCUCCGUCGCGCUCCGGGUCAACCUCCUUCUGCAAGCUCCUCGCCGACCGGCUCGAGGUGCCGCCGCGGGAAGAGAGCCGAGCGCCGCCUGCUCGCCCGUGCUGA
rnacentral:rRNA from 1 species